rnacentral:rRNA from 1 species
AGAUUGAACGCUGGCGGCAGGCCUAACACAUGCAAGUCGAGCGGCAGCACGGGUACUUGUACCUGGUGGCGAGCGGCGGACGGGUGAGUAAUGCCUAGGAAUCUGCCUGAUAGUGGGGGAUAACGCUCGGAAACGGACGCUAAUACCGCAUACGUCCUACGGGAGAAAGCAGGGGACCUUCGGGCCUUGCGCUAUCAGAUGAGCCUAGGUCGGAUUAGCUAGUUGGUGGGUAAUGGCUCACCAAGGCGACGAUCCGUAACUGGUCUGAGAGGAUGAUCAGUCACACUGGAACUGAGACACGGUCCAGACUCCUACGGGAGGCAGCAGUGGGGAAUAUUGAACAAUGGGACGAAAGCCUGAUCCAGCCAUGCCGCGUGUGUGAAGAAGGUCUUCGGAUUGUAAAGCAACUUUAAGUGGAGGAAGGCAGUUACCUAAUACGUAUCUGUUUUGACGUUACCGACAGAAUAAGCAACCGGCUAACUCUGUGA